CCUACGGGAGGCAGCAGUGGGGAAUAUUGCACAAUGGGGGAAACCCUGAUGCAGCGACGCCGCGUGAGUGAAGAAGUAAUUCGUUAUGUAAAGCUCUAUCAGCAGGGAAGAAAAUGACGGUACCUGAGUAAGAAGCCCCGGCUAACUACGUGCCAGCAGCCGCGGUCAUACGUAGGGGGCAAGCGUUAUCCGGAUUUACUGGGUGUAAAGGGAGCGUAGACGGCAGGGCAAGUCUGGAGGUAAAGGCGGGGGCUCAACCCCCGGACUGCUCUGGAAACUGUAAGGCUGGAGUGCAGGAGAGGUAAGUGGAAUUCCUAGUGUAGCGGUGAAAUGCGUAGAUAUUAGGAGGAACACCAGUGGCGAAGGCGGCUUACUGGACUGUAACUGACGUUGAGGCUCGAAAGCGUGGGGAGCAAACAGGAUUAGAUACCCCUGUAGUC
rnacentral:rRNA from 1 species